AUGAUGAUGGAGAAUCUCCAGUGGCUUGACCUCGACGGAAAUCACUUGUUUGGGUCCAUCCCACCUCAGAUUGCAAUGCUCAAGAAUAUAGGAAAUUUGUUCCUUUCCAACAAUACAUUGUCUGGUUUAACACCGGAGGGGAUUGGUAACCUGACCAAAUUAGAAUACCUGGCAUUGUCUGCCAACCAGUUAUCGUCAAUUAUCCCGUCGAGUUUAUUUCAUCUUAAUAGUCUCAUUCUGCUAGAUGUUUCUCAAAACUUUUUGACUGGCACAUUACCAGUUGAUAUGGGCAAUUUGAAGCAAAUUGACAGCAUGGACCUCUCUGCCAACCUCUUGGUUGGUAGCAUCCCAUAUUCGAUUGGACAACUCCAAACUAUUGCCUACUUGAACCUGUCACACAAUUCAUUUGAUGAUUCACUUCCAGAAUCUUUCGGCAAGCUAACCAGCUUGCAAACUUUGGACCUAUCACAUAACAGUCUCUCUGGUACAAUAUCAAAGUACCUAGUCAAUUUCACCAUCUUGGCCAGUUUGAACCUGUCUUUCAACAAGCUACAAGGUCAAGUACCAGAAGGUGGUGUCUUCUUAAAUAUUAGUCAGCAAUCCUUGGCAGGGAAUUUAGGGCUUUGUGGUGCUUCACGUUUAGGAUUUCCAAUGUGCCCAAGUAACUCUAAAAGAGCUAAUAAUGGCCUCAUGCUGAAGAUUUUGAUCCCUACUAUCAUCAUAACAAUUGGACUUGUAGCUUUCUGCAUAUAUGUAACAGUCAGAAAGAAGAUUAAGAAGCGACAAGGGAUGUCAGCUUCUCCCGGUAUGGUUGACAUGCCCACCCAUCACUUGGUCUCGUACCAUGAGCUUGUUCGAGCAACUGAUAAUUUUAGUGAGAGCAACCUGCUAGGGUCUGGAAGUUUUGGAAAAGUUUUCAAGGGCCAGCUAAGCAAUGGUUUGAUUGUUGCAAUCAAAGUUCUAGACAUGCAGCUAGAACAAGCGAUGAGAAGCUUUGAUACAGAGUGUGGUGUACUACGGAUGGCACGACACCGCAAUCUAAUGAGGAUACUCAAUACCUGCUCCAACUUGGAAUUUAGGGCAUUGGUGCUUCAAUACAUGCCCAAUGGCAGCUUAGAAAUGCUGCUACACAACUCUCAAGGUACAACCGAAUUGGGAUUCAGUUAG
rnacentral:rRNA from 1 species